GCGACUCCCCUUCCACUGCCAUUAGCAGUCCAUCCUAUAUCUUGAUGAUCAGAAUAUACAUAUACUUUUAUCUGGAUGUCAAACGGCACAGAAGAGCAUAACUAGAGACAUUCUAGUGAAAGAUUAGGUUAAAUCUGUUUUGAAAAGUCAAUAUGCUCCGAUUUCUGAUUAGUCUAAGUAUUGGAGUGUACGCCGGUAUAUAUAUAGCGCAAAACUAUGAGGUCCCGCGCGUGGAUGAGCCGGCAAAAAUAUAUCAACGAGUACUCCAGUUUCUAGAAGAAAAUAAGAAAAAGCCAUAGCAUAGCUCUAUAUUUCUCCUAAACGUAACCACUUCCGAUACCAGAAGAGAAAAUGUAUAUGCCAUUACUGAUACGAUGUAAAUGUAACAUUUAGCUAUAUCUUCCAAGAAAUAUCACUACACUUGUAUAUAUAUGUAUUCAUACUAUGUACAAAGAGACAGCCACUUAUUUUUCCAUACUUUUAUUUUAUUUAAUAAACAAUAUUUAAAU